CCAGCAGCUGCGGUAAUUCCAGCUCCAAUAGCGUAUAUUUAAGUUGCUGCAGUUAAAAAGCUCGUAGUUGGAUUUCGGGUGGGUCCUGCCGGUCCGCCGUUUCGGUGUGCACUUGCAGGUCCCACCUUGUUGCCGGGGACGUGUUCCUGGGCUUCACUGUCCGGGACACGGAGUCGGUGAGGUUACUUUGAGUAAAUUAGAGUGUUCAAAGCAAGCGUUCGCUAUGAAUACAUUAGCAUGGAAUAACAUGAUAGGACUCUGGCUUAUCUUGUUGGUCUGUAAGACCGGAGUAAUGAUUAAGAGGGACAGUCGGGGGCAUUCGUAUUUCAUUGUCAGAGGUGAAAUUCUUGGAUUUAUGAAAGACGAACUUCUGCGAAAGCAUUUGCCAAGGAUGUUUUCAUCAAUCAAGAACGAAAGU
rnacentral:rRNA from 1 species